rnacentral:rRNA from 1 species
GGUUAAGCGACUAAGCGUACACGGUGGAUGCCCUGGCAGUCAGAGGCGAUGAAGGACGUGCUAAUCUGCGAAAAGCGUCGGUAAGGUGAUAUGAACCGUUAUAACCGGCGAUGUCCGAAUGGGGAAACCCAGUGCAAUUCGUUGCACUAUCGUUAACUGAAUACAUAGGUUAACGAGGCGAACCGGGGAACUGAAACAUCUAAGUACCCCGAGGAAAAGAAAUCAACCGAGAUUCCCCAGUAGCGGCGAGCGAACGGGGAGCAGCCCAGAGUCUGAAUCAGCUUGUGUGUUAGUGGAACGGUCUGGAAAGUCCGACGGUACAGGGUGAUAGUCCCGUACACCAAAAUGCACAGGUUGUGAACUCGAAGAGUAGGGCGGGACACGUGGUAUCCUGUCUGAAUAUGGGGGGACCAUCCUCCAAGGCUAAAUACUCCUGACUGACCGAUAGUGAACCAGUACCGUGAGGGAAAGGCGAAAAGAACCCCGGCGAGGGGAGUGAAAAAGAACCUGAAACCGUGUACGUACAAGCAGUGGGAGCACCUUCGGGUGUGACUGCGUACCUUUUGUAUAAUGGGUCAGCGACUUAUAUUCUGUAGCAAGGUUAACCGUAUAGGGGAGCCGCAGGGAAACCGAGUCUUAACUGGGCGUUAAGUUGCAGGGUAUAGACCCGAAACCCGGUGAUCUAGCCAUGGGCAGGUUGAAGGUUGGGUAACACUAACUGGAGGACCGAACCGACUAAUGUUGAAAAAUUAGCGGAUGACUUGUGGCUGGGGGUGAAAGGCCAAUCAAACCGGGAGAUAGCUGGUUCUCCCCGAAAGCUAUUUAGGUAGCGCCUCGUGAAUUCAUCUUCGGGGGUAGAGCACUGUUUCGGCUAGGGGUCAUCCCGACUUACCAACCCGAUGCAAACUACGAAUACCGAAGAAUGUUAUCACGGGAGACACACGGCGGGUGCUAACGUCCGUCGUGAAGAGGGAAACAACCCAGACCGCCAGCUAAGGUCCCAAAGUCAUGGUUAAGUGGGAAACGAUGUGGGAAGGCACAGACAGCCAGGAUGUUGGCUUAGAAGCAGCCAUCAUUUAAAGAAAGCGUAAUAGCUCACUGGUCGAGUCGGCCUGCGCGGAAGAUGUAACGGGGCUAAACCAUGCACCGAAGCUGCGGCAGCGACACUAUGUGUUGUUGGGUAGGGGAGCGUUCUGUAAGCCUGCGAAGGUGUGCUGUGAGGCAUGCUGGAGGUAUCAGAAGUGCGAAUGCUGACAUAAGUAACGAUAAAGCGGGUGAAAAGCCCGCUCGCCGGAAGACCAAGGGUUCCUGUCCAACGUUAAUCGGGGCAGGGUGAGUCGACCCCUAAGGCGAGGCCGAAAGGCGUAGUCGAUGGGAAACAGGUUAAUAUUCCUGUACUUGGUGUUACUGCGAAGGGGGACGGAGAAGGCUAUGUUAGCCGGGCGACGGUUGUCCCGGUUUAAGCAUGUAGGCUGAUUGUCCAGGCAAAUCCGGAUAAUCAAGGCUGAGGUGUGAUGACGAGGCACUACGGUGCUGAAGUAACAAAUGCCCUGCUUCCAGGAAAAGCCUCUAAGCAUCAGGUAACAUCAAAUCGUACCCCAAACCGACACAGGUGGUCAGGUAGAGAAUACCAAGGCGCUUGAGAGAACUCGGGUGAAGGAACUAGGCAAAAUGGUGCCGUAACUUCGGGAGAAGGCACGCUGGUGUGUAGGUGAAGCCCCUGCGGGUGGAGCUGAGACCAGUCGAAGAUACCAGCUGGCUGCAACUGUUUAUUAAAAACACAGCACUGUGCAAACACGAAAGUGGACGUAUACGGUGUGACGCCUGCCCGGUGCCGGAAGGUUAAUUGAUGGGGUUAUCCGUAAGGAGAAGCUCUUGAUCGAAGCCCCGGUAAACGGCGGCCGUAACUAUAACGGUCCUAAGGUAGCGAAAUUCCUUGUCGGGUAAGUUCCGACCUGCACGAAUGGCGUAAUGAUGGCCAGGCUGUCUCCACCCGAGACUCAGUGAAAUUGAACUCGCUGUGAAGAUGCAGUGUACCCGCGGCAAGACGGAAAGACCCCGUGAACCUUUACUAUAGCUUGACACUGAACAUUGAGCCUUGAUGUGUAGGAUAGGUGGGAGGCUUUGAAGCGUGGACGCCAGUCUGCGUGGAGCCAACCUUGAAAUACCACCCUUUAAUGUUUGAUGUUCUAACGUUGGCCCCUGACCGGGGUUGCGGACAGUGUCUGGUGGGUAGUUUGACUGGGGCGGUCUCCUCCCAAAGCGUAACGGAGGAGCACGAAGGUUAGCUAAUCCUGGUCGGACAUCAGGAGGUUAGUGCAAUGGCAUAAGCUAGCUUGACUGCGAGCGUGACGGCGCGAGCAGGUGCGAAAGCAGGUCAUAGUGAUCCGGUGGUUCUGAAUGGAAGGGCCAUCGCUCAACGGAUAAAAGGUACUCCGGGGAUAACAGGCUGAUACCGCCCAAGAGUUCAUAUCGACGGCGGUGUUUGGCACCUCGAUGUCGGCUCAUCACAUCCUGGGGCUGAAGUAGGUCCCAAGGGUAUGGCUGUUCGCCAUUUAAAGUGGUACGCGAGCUGGGUUUAGAACGUCGUGAGACAGUUCGGUCCCUAUCUGCCGUGGGCGCUGGAGAAUUGAGGGGGGCUGCUCCUAGUACGAGAGGACCGGAGUGGACGCAUCACUGGUGUUCGGGUUGUCAUGCCAAUGGCACUGCCCGGUAGCUAAAUGCGGAAGAGAUAAGUGCUGAAAGCAUCUAAGCACGAAACUUGCCCCGAGAUGAGUUCUCCCUGAGACUUUAAGUCUCCUGAAGGAACGUUGAAGACGACGACGUUGAUAGGCCGGGUGUGUAAGCGCAGCGAUGCGUUGAGCUAACCGGUACUAAUGAACCGUGAGGCUUAACCUU